UGUGCAGGCGGUUUCGAAAGUCCGAUGUGAAAUCCCCGAGCUUAACUUGGGAACUGCGUUGGAAACUACGAGGCUAGAGUGCGGCAGAGGGGGGUGGAAUUCCAGGUGUAGCAGUGAAAUGCGUAGAGAUCUGGAGGAACACCGAUGGCGAAGGCAGCCCCCUGGGUUAGCACUGACGCUGAGACACGAAAGCGUGGGGAGCAAACA
rnacentral:rRNA from 1 species